UACGUAGGCAGCAAGCGUUGUUCGGAGUUACUGGGCGUAAAGGGUGUGUAGGCGGUUCCUUAAGUUUGCUGUGAAAUCUCCCGGCUUAACCGGGAGGGUGCGGUGAAUACUGAGGGACUAGAGUACGGGAGAGGAAAGUGGAAUUCCUGGUGUAGCGGUGGAAUGCGCAGAUAUCAGGAGGAACACCAAUAGCGAAGGCAGCUCGCUGGGACGGUAUUGACGCUAAGGCGCGAAAGCGUGGGGAGCAAACAGG
rnacentral:rRNA from 1 species